AAAUAUCUAAGUCUGAACCCGAUUCUUGUGUUUCUGAAAAAAAAAAACCCUACGUUCUCUUCUCUUCAGUCUCCGCCUCCCUCAGCUCUUUGCCUCCCUCCCUCCCUCACUUCUCUCUUUAUUCCUCAAAGGUUUAAACCUCAUCCUUACAAGCCAGUUUCAAGCUAUUUGCUCCAUUUGUCUCUGUGUUUUUAACUAAAGAGCUCUUCUGCCUCUCUCUGGGGUUUCACUAUUUUGCUUUUCGCCAAGGCAAUGUCAACCUCUUGACUACUGGUUUAAUUGUUCUCCGUCUUUCUUACUUGGUAUUAGGCAGUAGUAGCUGAUGAUAUAUGCAUUAGCUAUGACAAAAAGGUGGUCGAGCUUUGAUAUGUAUCCAACAUUUGACUAGAAUUAUCCAAGGUUUCUGUGUAAAGGUGUGGAAAUUACCCAGAAGUAUUCCUUAUGUUAGAAUCCUCUAUAGGAUCAGGUUGGGAUCGCAAUCCCACAACCCAAGUCACUGUUCAACCUCAACUCUAACACCCUCACUGAUCAUCACAGUCAGAUCAAGACUUUCUGCAUAGCACAUAGGACUAAUGCCCCACUUUCCACAUAAAAUCCUGUUAAGAACUGAAUCAAUAGCCUUGCAUUUGCUUGCAAAAGCCUAACACCACAACCACCAGCAACCCCAUGUGUAUGAAGCCAAGUUUAAUGUUGGAGC